rnacentral:rRNA from 1 species
GUGAGGAAUAUUGCGCAAUGGAGGCAACUCUGACGCAGCCAUGCCGCGUGCAGGAAGAAGGCGCUACGCGUUGUAAACUGCUUUUAACCGGGAAGAAACCCCAGGACGUGUCCUGGGUUGACGGUACCGGAGGAAUAAGCACCGGCUAACUUCGUGCCAGCAGCCGCGGUAAUACGAAGGGUGCAAGCGUUAUCCGGAUUCAUUGGGUUUAAAGGGUGCGUAGGCGGAGCGUUAAGUCAGUGGUGAAAUCCUGCAGCUUAACUGUAGACUUGCCAUUGAUACUGGCGCUCUUGAGUGCGCUUGAAGUGGGCGGAAUGUGCCGUGUAGCGGUGAAAUGCUUAGAUAUGGCACAGAACACCAAUUGCGAAGGCAGCUCACUAAGGCGAUACUGACGCUGAGGCACGAAAGCGUGGGGAUCGAACAGGAUUAGAAACCCCGGUGUCC